rnacentral:tRNA from 2 species
UUUGUUGUAACUCAGUGGUAGAGUGCUUACCUAUCAUGUAUGUGGCCCUGGGUUCCAUGCCCAGUAACUAAC